CAGCAGCCGCGGUAAAACGUAGGUGGCAAGCGUUGUCCGGAAUUAUUGGGCGUAAAGCGCGCGCAGGCGGAUCAGUCAGUCUGUCUUAAAAGUUCGGGGCUUAACCCCGUGAUGGGAUGGAAACUGCUGAUCUAGAGUAUCGGAGAGGAAAGUGGAAUUCCUAGUGUAGCGGUGAAAUGCGUAGAUAUUAGGAAGAACACCAGUGGCGAAGGCGACUUUCUGGACGAAAACUGACGCUGAGGCGCGAAAGCCAGGGGAGCGAACGGGAUUAGAGACCCCCGUAGUCCCUGUCUCUUAUACA
rnacentral:rRNA from 1 species